GUGAGUGAGAGUGAGAGAGAGAGAGAGAGUGAGUGAGAGUGAGAGAAUGAGUGAGAGAGAGAGUGAGUGAGUGAGAGAAGUGAGAGUGAGUGGAGUGAGAGUGAGAGUGAGUGAGAGAGACUGAGAGAGAUGAGUGGAGUGUGAGUGAGAGUGUGAGAGAGUGUGAGAGUGUGAGAGAGUGAGUGAGAGAGUGUGAGAGAGUGAGAAUGUUUCUUUUCCCCUCUGUGCUGAUGUGACUCGCGUUAGCACGCGUGAGAAGCCUGGAGCAGCGCUCGUGCUCUCAGCUCCUGCCAGACGGCCAGGGGAUUUCCACGCGGCCCAAUGAAGCUCUCUGUACGCGGCACGAGGCGGCCGCUGAGUAACCCUCACUUCACCAUCUUACACUUUACACGCGCGUGUUGGGGAAAUCUCACUAAGUCCACACAACGGCCGCAUUCCUUGCACGCAUUAUAAUAGAAUACACCUGCUGCCUCGCCCCUACACUUCCGCUUGCCCAAGUGUAAUACCAUCUACUGGGUAUGACUGGAGCUGCACCGCUGAAAGACUUCCUUCACCCAGGCUGCACUGUGAAUAAAAAU
ensembl:lncRNA